rnacentral:tRNA from 1 species
CAUUAGAUAUCUUAAAUGUAAGAAUUGAUUUUUUAAAUCAAAAAUAAUAAAUUAACAAUUAUUUUUAAUGA